UCAAAACUUAAGGCAUGUAGCCAUUGCUAAUACAAAACUUAAGAGAUAUAAAUUUUAAUACAAAUUAAGACAUUGUAGCUAGAAGUUAAGUUAGACUCUCAUCAUAACCCCUAACCUUCUAGACUUUCAUCUUCAUCAAGAUGACCUCCGACAAUAACCUUAACCCUUUUGUCUUUCAUCUUCAUCUUUAGUCUACGAAAAAGGUAUAUAGUCUUCAUCAUCAGUAACUUACGCGAAUCUUGAUAUCACCCAAGACUCCAACACUAAUUUAAGGCAAACAACAAGACACACACAAACUUGCAAAUAAGUACCAAGUUGCCUACCACUUGACUGAUGUUUCAUACUCUAAGGUUCCAUGUAACUGUUUACAUACAUCCUCCCCUAAGUAAUUAGUCAAGAGACUAUAAUUGUCUAGGGAACUUGUAUAUGCAUAGUUUUCUUGGAAAUCUCUAUAAUUUUCUAUGUACAUUCUCCUUAACAUGAUGAGGAUGACCAUACUUAAAAGCAUUUGGCCAGUUUUAUACUCUAGGGAUCUCUCGCUCUCCUUUUCUUAUUUGAGGGUGAUAAUAAUUCAAGUGUUUGGCCCUUUUUAGAAUGUUGAUAAUUUAUCAUCAUUCUCCUUUUCCUCAUUGAGACACACUCAUUCCCCUCACUUUCAUAAUUAUGGAAACCCAUGGCAUCUUUUGUUGAUUCUUUCCCAAACCUCAUACCAUAUUUUGAUCCUCUCCUUGAUU
rnacentral:lncRNA from 1 species